UCACAUCUGUCCCUGGUGCUGUUUCAUGGAAAUGCACUUCCUGUCAAGCUCAUAUUCCUGAUGGUCUGGCUUCCAUAUUAAAAUGACAGGGUACAUAUAGAGAAAUAGUCUGCUUUUGACUACAGGCAGAGAGAACUUUAAAAAAAGCCAGACCAUCAAAUUGUCAUCCUCAGAUUUCUGGAAACUGAGCUGAAGAAAAGCUUUUAAGAUCCUGAUGAAGACUGACACAGUCAUGUAGAUGGCACAGCUGCCACUCUGCCCGUCUGCCCCUCUCUGGGAAUCCGUAGAAAUCCUGGCCUUCAUUUAAAUCAACAGGAGCUUUGUCUCUCACUUCAAUGGAGUCAGAAUUUCACCCUGCAAUUUGAAAUACUCUCUACAGU